GGCAACUGAUGGCCACAUGAGACAUCCUGUGAGCUUGUCCCUGGCCGUGUAUCAGAUGGCCUCAGCUGAAGGCUGGGUGAAGUGGUGGACGUUCUCCAGCAUGUUUGGCAGCCCACCUUGGAGACUGCUGCUCGCAAAAGAAGGGAAUGUGCCAGCUUUCGCAGAUCUGUACUUGCAGGAGGAGACCUAGACCUGUGAGGCAGCACCCUGCCAUCUGGCUCCUGGCUGGCAACCAGACUCUAUAACUUCUGCAAGCAUGUCAAGAAUGAAAUAUUAUUUUGUAUUGCAUGCUGCUGUGAAUGGAGGUGGCUACUGUCUAUCUUUGAGAAGCUCCACCAUCAAAAGCUAGAUGUAAAGGACACAACACUCACAGACUUCAUAUCUCAAUGUCUCCAUGACUUUUACAAGAGAGGUGACGUAAAGGCAUGAAAUCAUAUUACCAUCAUGGAAAAUCCCAAGAACUUUGACUCAUGACAGAAUGAUAGUGUACGGGCCAAUCAGAGAGAAAGUCCGAAGAUGUUCACCUGAAAAUGAUGGGGAGGAAAUUCUGGCACUGUGAACUACUCUGCAGUAUCAAUCACCUUAUUGUUAACAGAAAAGUAGAGACUGGUAUGUGAAGAGCCUUGACAGUGACAAGAAGUCACCUAUAUUUGGCACAUACCGAUACAGAGAUGGUGAUGAGAAAGGUGAACAAAGAGAGGCAGAAGCAAUGUGAGCCCAAGCAUGAGCUUGUGAUGAAGGUGAAGCGUAGUAGUUGUUCUUCAGAAUCUAAUACUACUCUUUCUUCAGGAAGGACUUUCUGUCAAGAGAGCUCAUAAACACUGGCAGGCAAAAAGGCAGAUCUCAAGCUCCAUCAAUGUAAUGAAACAUUUUCUGCUUGGAAAAGUCAUUCCAGAUUUGUAUACAAAAGUAAUCAGAGUAUUAACUGGUAAUUAUGAGGUGAACAUUUUAAGUAAAUUUAUUGGGUUUGCGUGGCCUGGUUUUGGUAGCAAGGGACUACAGAGGUACCUUCUAUGAGAAGCUGCUGGAAGCUUCUUCCAUGUGCCAGUUCCUGGUGGCUCCAAAGAUGGACAUGCCACUGGCCAAGGCUGGGCCAGUUAGAACUGAUGGUAAUGCCUCUGUGAUAACAGAUUUAAGAAGAAAUCAAAACAAAAAAGGGUUGUGCAGUUGUAAUAGCAAUAAGAGCAGAGUGAAAACAUGUGAGAAGAAUAGCUCUGCAGAUACCAAGGUCAGUGGAGAAGGAGGGGAAGGAGGUGCUGGAGCUGAGGUUCCCCUGCAGCCCCUGGUGCAGCCCAUGGUGAAGCAGCUG